rnacentral:rRNA from 1 species
AACGAACGCUGGCGGCAUGCCUAACACAUGCAAGUCGAACGAGACCUUCGGGUCUAGUGGCGCACGGGUGCGUAACGCGUGGGAACCUGCCCUUAGGUUCGGAAUAACUCCCCGAAAGGGGUGCUAAUACCGGAUAAUGUCUUCGGACCAAAGAUUUAUCGCCUUUGGAUGGGUCCGCGUUGGAUUAGCUAGUUGGUAGGGUAAAAGCCUACCAAGGCGACGAUUCAUAGCUGGUCUGAGAGGAUGAUCAGCCACACUGGGACUGAGACACGGCCCAGACUCCUACGGGAGGCAGCAGUGGGGAAUAUUGGACAGUGGGCGAAAGCCUGAUCCAGCAAGGCCGAGUGAGUGAUGAAGGCCUUAGGGUUGUAAAGCUCAUUUACCCGGGAUGAUAAUGACAGUACCGGGAGAAUAAGCUCCGGCUAACUCCGUG